ensembl:snRNA U6 U6 spliceosomal RNA
CUGCUCACUCUGGCAGCACAUGCACUAAAAUUGGAACAACAGAGAGAAGAUUAGCAUAACCCCUGCACAAGGAUGACACAAAUUUGUGACGUAGUCCAUAUUUUU